UAUUGUGCCAGCCGCUGCGGUUAGACUGUGAUGGGAAAUAUUGGAGAUUAUCGGUUGAGUAGUUAUAGAUAAGAAGGCCCUAAAAGUUGUAUUUGAUUGGUUGGAAGUGAAAUUCGGUUUAUUAGUGUGCAAUUUGUGGGCCUUAGUUCUAGAGUCUAUCAAGGUCUAGGCAUAAACUAGGAUUAGAUACCCUAUUAUACUAGACAGAUAAUAAUUAGUGCUUGAGUAGUAGUUAGUUAUGAUCUUGAAAUUUAAAGGAUUUGGCGGUGUCCCAAUCUCGUCAGAGGAACCUGUUCUUGAAACGAUAUGCCACGAAAAAUCUUACUUUGUCUUGUACUAAAUGCAGCUGGUAUACCGCCAUUAUAUAAACACUUCAAGGUGGAAUGACAGAAGAGCUUAAAAUCCUACUUAUAUUAGGUCAAGGUGCCGCUUAUGACAAAGGUAGUGAUGGGUUACAUUGUAUUUUAUAAUUUCGGAGGGGAACUUGAAACAGUUUCUUUGAAGUCGGAUUUGAUUGUAAGUCUGUUGUUAGUAUGCUAGAUUGAUAACAGCGCUGGGGCGUGUACAAAUAGCCCGUCGCUCUCAGUAUAAAUGAGAUAAGUCGACAA
rnacentral:rRNA from 1 species